UAGAGUUUGAUCCUGGCUCAGAUUGAACGCUGGCGGUAUGCUUAACACAUGCAAGUCGAACGGAAACGAUGGAAGCUUGCUUCCAGGCGUCGAGUGGCGGACGGGUGAGUAACGCGUAGGAAUCUGCCUGAUAGUGGGGGAUAGCCCGGAGAAAUUCGGAUUAAUACCGCAUAAUCUCUACGGAGUAAAGGAGGCCUCUAUUUAUAUGCUUUCGCUAUCAGAUGAGCCUGCGUAAGAUUAGCUAGUUGGUGAGGUAAAGGCUCACCAAGGCGACGAUCUUUAGCUGGUCUGAGAGGAUGAUCAGCCACACUGGGACUGAGACACGGCCCAGACUCCUACGGGAGGCAGCAGUGGGGAAUAUUGGACAAUGGGCGCAAGCCUGAUCCARCAAUACCGCGUGUGUGAAGAAGGCCUGAGGGUUGUAAAGCACUUUCAAUUGUGAA
rnacentral:rRNA from 1 species